GCUCAGGAUGAACGCUAGCUACAGGCUUAACACAUGCAAGUCGAGGGGUAGCAGGGUAGCAAUACCGCUGACGACCGGCGCACGGGUGAGUAACACGUAUCCAACCUUCCCAUGACUCAGGGAUAGCCUUUCGAAAGAAAGAUUAAUACCUGAUAGUACUUUUUUAAGGCAUCUUGAAAAAGUUAAAGAUUUAUCGGUUAUGGAUGGGGAUGCGUUCCAUUAGAUAGUUGGUGAGGUAACGGCUCACCAAGUCUUCGAUGGAUAGGGGUUCUGAGAGGAAGGUCCCCCACAUUGGUACUGAGACACGGACCAAACUCCUACGGGAGGCAGCAGUGAGGAAUAUUGGUCAAUGGGCGAGAGCCUGAACCAGCCA
rnacentral:rRNA from 1 species